GCCGCAGCUUGGGAGGGGGGAGACGCGAAACGCGGCCUCUUCCCACGCGGGGGCGGCCGCAGUCGUGCGGGGCCGGAGCUGGCGCAGGAAGCGCGGAGAGUUGACCUUAAGCGGAGCAUGGAGAGGUAAAGCAGUAUUCGGAGAGGAGAAUCAGGCCCAUCCCAUGGAAGCGUCCAGUUGCACUGGUGUUCUGAAACACCAUCAGUGGCUGUCUUGAUAUUAGGUGUACGGAGCUAAGCGUGAAUUCAGCUAUCCCGUGAGACACUAGUUGCCUGGAUACCUUGAAUCCUUUCGAGAAGCUUGUUUUAAAAACCGAGGAUGACUGUCAUAUACUACUUUUUCCAUUGAACGAAGGCCUUAUUGAGUGCACUGAACGGAUACUGCUGAUCUGAAACUGAUCC